UGGUUGUGCUACAGGUGAGCCUUGAUUCUUUCCCACACACACAACUCUGUCAUGGAUGUGAAGCUGCCCUUGGGCUAUGAGAGCUUUCUGCACAUAUUUUUCUUGUUUUAAUCUGUUGGAGAGCUGUUUGUCUACCCAUUGAACCUGCAUGCGUUCCAUUAGAGAAGAAUUCAAAGCAUCCCAUUAUGCAAUUCAUCACUCUCUGAAGUGUUGUCAACCUGCGGGUGCUUUAGUUUCUGCUCUCUCUCUGUUGUUCUCCUGUAAAUCAAAUCAUUUUAUUUUUUUUAAACAAAAAGACAAGCCAGUGAGCAGAGGUUGGUACUGGUAUUUAUGGUCCGCAGAGGAGAUCAGCGUGGCGAAGACCUGGACUCCAUGGGAAAUGUGUCACCUAAGCUACAGGGGCUUGUUGAAGCCAAAACUGUGAAGCCGCUGGGAAACCGAGGCCUGCGCUGACCCCAAGCAGGCUGGACCAUCGCAGGGAGCUGCCGCUGUCACAAAGAGCUGCUGCAGAGCGGAGAAAGGAGUAGAUGAGCCGACAGAUUCUCGCGCUGAGUCGUGAUGGGCGGACCAAACCAUUUUGUAAAGGACGCGAGGGCCCUCAACCAAUGUAUUGAGACGACUUUGAAUUCAUGUUAUGACACUAAUUACUCAGAAAACACCAAUUCCAGGCUUUCCAGGCUCCCCACCCUUGGGCCCUGGCAAG